rnacentral:rRNA from 1 species
CCUACGGGAGGCAGCAGUAGGGAAUCUUGCGCAAUGGACGAAAGUCUGACGCAGCGACACCGUGUGAGGGAUGAAGGUCUUCGGAUUGUAAACCUCUGUCAAUUGGGGACGAAGGUAGUAGGGUUAAGAGCUCUUACUAUGACGGUACCC